rnacentral:rRNA from 1 species
GAUGAACGCUGGCGGCGUGCUUAAUACAUGCAAGUCGAGCGAAGCACUUUAACGGAAUUCUUCGGAAGGAAGGUAAAGUGACUGAGCGGGCGUAGGGUCGAAGGUAACGCGUAGGUAACCGUGCCUUAUACAGGGGGAUAACAGUUAGAAAUGGCUGCUAAUACCGCAUAAGCGCACAGGACCGCAUGGUCUGGUGUGAAAAACUCCGGUGGUAUAAGAUGGACCAGCGUCUGAUUAGCUAGUUGGUGAGGUAACGGCUCACCAAGUCGACGAUCAGUAGCCGAACUGAGAGGUUGAUCGGCCACAUUGGGACUGAGACACGGCCCAG